GUUGGCGGUCAUAGCAGAGGGGAACACCUGUACCCAUCUCGAACACAGAAGUUAAGCCCUCUAGCGAAUUGAGUUGUACUGUCUUUCGACGGGAAGCUUAGGACGCUGCCACUC
rnacentral:rRNA from 1 species